AUUGAACGCUGGCGGCAGGCCUAACACAUGCAAGUCGGGCGGGCGGCGGACGGGUGAGUAAUGUAUGGGGAUCUGCCUGAUCGAGGGGGAUAACUACUGGAACCCGUAGCUACUACCGCCUACCACCAGAUGACUCCUUAUGGGAUUAGCUUGUAGGUGAGGUAACGGCUCACCUAGGCGACGAUCCCUAGCUGGUCUGAGAGGAUGAUCAGCCACACUGGGACUGAGACACGGCCCAGACUCCUACGGGAGGCAGCAGUGGGGAAUAUUGCACAAUGGGCGCAAGCCUGAUGCAGCCAUGCCGCGUGUAUGAAGAAGGCCUUCGGGUUGUAAAGUACUUUCAGUCGGGAGGCGUUACCGACAGAAGAAGCACCGGCUAACUCCGUGCCAGCAGCCGCGGUAAUAC
rnacentral:rRNA from 1 species